AUACGUAGGGGGCGAGCGUUGUCCGGAAUGAUUGGGCGUAAAGGGCGCGUAGGCGGCGCGGUAAGUCUGGAGUGAAAGUCCUGCUUUCAAGGUGGGAAUUGCUUUGGAUACUGCCGCGCUUGAGUGCAGGAGAGGUUAUCGGAAUUCCCGGUGUAGCGGUGAAAUGCGUAGAGAUCGGGAGGAACACCAGUGGCGAAGGCGGGUAACUGGACUGCAACUGACGCUGAGGCGCGAAAGUGUGGGGAGCAAACAGGAUUAGAUACCCUGGUAGUCCACGCUGUAAACGAUGAAUACUAGGUGUGGGGGGACUGACCCCCUCCGUGCCGCAGUUAACACAAUAAGUAUUCCACCUGGGGAGUACGAUCGCCAGAUUGAAACUCAAAUGAAUUGACGGGG
rnacentral:rRNA from 1 species